GACGAACGCUGGCGGCGUGCUUAACACAUGCAAGUCGAACGGAAAGGCCCUGCUUUUGUGGUGUGCCCGAGUGGCGAACGGGUGAGUAACACGUGAGUAACCUGCCCUUGACUUUGGGAUAACUUCAGGAAACUGGGGCUAAUACCGGAUAGCAUCCGCUGCAGCAUGGUGGGGGGUGGAACGUCGCGGCGGUCGGGGAUGGACGAGCGGCUUAUGAGCUUGUUGGUUGGGGAGUUGCUUACCAAGGCUUGGACGGAUAGCCGGCCUGGGAGGGUGGCCGGCCACAUUAGGACUGAGAGAGGGCGCAGACUGCUACGGGAGGCAGCAGGGGGGAACAUUGCACAGUGAGCGGGAGCGUGAUGCAGCAGCGCCGGGUGCGGGAUGACGGCCUUCGGGUUGAAAACCGCUUUAGCCUGUGACGACGCGUGAGUGACGGUAAUGGGUAAAGAAGCACCGGCUAACUACGUG
rnacentral:rRNA from 1 species